GCCGCGCUGGCGCUGCCUGGUGCUUCCGCGCCACGCGGGGGGAGCCUGCCUCCGCUCACCACUGCGCCUGCCGAGGGGCUUCGCUGCGUGCCUGCCUCCGCCAGCCCACCCGCUCACCCGUCCUCCGGGACGCGCCCACUGCGGCCGGCUGGUCUGUCUGUCUGUCUCUCCGUGUAUCUGGGAAGUGCUUCUGCUCGAGGUUGAUUUCCUCACACUCCAUGACCCGUUGCGAGGUGUCUGCCAGAGCCUGCUCCCCAGCAUGGGUCUGCGCAGCUCCUGCACCCAGAACUCCCCAGAGCCGUGGGGGUUUUCUUGACCCUCACAAAGGGCAUGAGGGCCACGGGACCCCUGCAGCACAGGGUGGGCCAUGGGAUGCUGUAGCAGCCUGGCACGUGCUCUUGUUAGAAAUAGGCAGAUUUCAGUAAAACCAGCCUCCUUUUCCUUCUUCACGGUAAUUCCAUCCCCUGGCUCUCCCCUGUGCCAGCGCUAACGCGCUCUCUCUCUGGCAGACAUCUUUUUCCAGUCCCAACAAAGACCUCCCAUUGCCGCUGAGCGAGCUCCUGAGCUGGGUCUCCGACAUCAGAAGGUCGUGGACAGGCUCGAGAGGAGCCCUGGAGGUGGCAGCAGUUCGGCUGUGCUCACCGGCACAGUGUGGCUGGAUGUCCAUACCACUUCCCCUCAUCGCCGCCAUGGAGCCCAUCCCCCUCCCUGAGGCCGGUGGGACCACACCUGAGGACACAGGGACGUUCUCCCUCAUCCUUUGCACUUGCCAGGGUCCCCAGCCAGAGACUGGGGCCACAGUGCCUGAACAGCCAAUGGCCCAAGAAGCACCCACAGGGUCACCUGGCCCCCAGUUGCCCCACACGCUCCCUCCUCCCCGGGGAUGGCCUCUUAGUGUGGUGUCGGGCUCACUGCGGAUCUCCAAAACAUCUCCUCCUUCCCACCUGCUCUCAUCUGCCACCUGUAAAUCCAGUCAUGUUACCCUCCGCCUCUGGUGUCAUUAUUGCUUUCAUUACCCCGUUUGGCUUUGCAUGAGGUGCUACUGCAUGCGGCCCCAGGACAGUCCCCACUCCUGGGGCCCCCUGCACCCCGACCAUCACUCAUCGGGACAGUGGGAGUCCAUCAAUUACCCAAACACAUCUCUUUUUGGGGGCAAAACACUAAACUUGUACAUACCGCGAAGUGUCUGUAAAAGGAGCAGCGCGGACCCAGGGCUCGCCUGCAAGGGCAGUAAAGGAGAAUCCUCUGAAA